rnacentral:lncRNA from 1 species
GAGAUGCUAGGUGUUGGUGCUCAAGUCAGCAGUCUUAGCUGAACCCAGACUUUGAGCCAAGCCCAUCAGAACAUGAGCCAUGCUGUUCAUGCUAAGGAGGACUCAGCUGAGAGGGAUGGACUUUCUUCCAUGGGGCUUCCAUCUUCCAGUAUGAGGACAAAGGCUUCUUUACAUCACAGUCUCAACAUUAUAAGGAGCAGCAAGAAAGAGAAGUUCUAAUAUAUCACAGAUGAAGAAAUGGCAAUAACAACUCUUUAUUUUUAGCUUGUGAUGAUGUGAGUGCUGAGCCAUCAUUCUCAUUCAAGUCUCUUGUGAUUGAAAAAGACUAAAAGGCACCUAUAGGCACCAUGAACCAUCUGAAAGCCAUACACGUGGAUGGGAAUUCGAUGUGUACUCUGUUAUGUUGGAGGACAGAAUAGAUCUGUUGGGUGAGAGUUAUUAGGAGUUUCAGUUUUACUAAAUGUAAGGACAAACUUGAUAACAAUCAGGGCAUCAAACAAUGGAUGUGCUGCUCUAGCAUCUUAAGUUGGUUUCCAAGAAGCAGCUCCUGAUUUGAUGAAGUACAUGUAAGUGGAGAAUGGAGAAACAGAAAGUAAAAUGAAGACAGAAAGAGACCAAGGAAAUCCGUCAUAUCAAGUAUGCAAUAUCAACCUUUGGAGGGUGACUUGGGCUCCAUCCCAGAAGGGAGCCUUGGAAACAGUGAAAACAGUGAUAGUCACUCUCAGAGUUUCUGAAUCAGAGCAAGAGGACUGGGGUAUUUAUACUCCUGCCCUCAUCACUGGUUAAGUCAUGAGGAGGAGUUGGUAUACAUUCACAGAUACUUCUGGUUCUAUGCGUUGUUAUGUAUGCAGGUAAUGAGGGUCCUGGUAGUCUGAGGGCAGCCCUCUAAUUGCUACUGUUGGGAGCAGAGGCACACCAGAAGCUGGUAGACAGAAAAAAAGUAGUGAAAGUGGUUUGCACGAAUAUCCUUGCAGCUCUGAAAUCACCAGCUCUGCUUUGUCUGUUGUUAUAUUUCAUUUCUGGAGAGAUCCAGGCAGAAGCUGCCAACUUCAACACCUAUUUUGACACUGAGAGUCAUUUAAUAAAGGCUUUCUUUAUAAUAGUACAUUACUAUUGCUUGGUUUUGUUUGGCAACCUUUGAAAACAAAGUGCUUAAAGAAAUCCUUCCCCCAAAUAUGUAAGCCUGGUCUUCAGUUGACUGAUGUCUGCCUGGG